GACGAACGCUGGCGGCGUGCUUAACACAUGCAAGUCGAACGGAAAGGCCCUGCUUUUGUGGGGUGCUCGAGUGGCGAACGGGUGAGUAACACGUGAGUAACCUGCCCUUGACUUUGGGAUAACUUCAGGAAACUGGGGCUAAUACCGGAUAGGAGCUCCUGCUGCAUGGUGGGCGUUGGAAAGUUUCGGCGGGUGGGGAUGGACUCGCGGCUUAUCAGCUUGUUGGUGGGGUAGUGGCUUACCAAGGCUUUGACGGGUAGCCGGCCUGAGAGGGUGACCGGCGACAAUGGGACUGAGAGAGGGCCCAGACUGCAACGGUGGGCAGCAGUGGGGAAUAUUGCACAAUGGGCGGAAGCCUGAUGCAGCAACGCCGCGUGCGGGAUGACGGCCUUCGGGGUGUAAACCGCUUUCGCCUGUGACGAAGCGUGAGUGACGGUAAUGGGUAAAGAAGCACCGGCUAACUACGUG
rnacentral:rRNA from 1 species